AUUGAACGCUGGCGGCAGGCUUAACACAUGCAAGUCGAGCGAGCGGCGGACGGGUGAAUAAUGUCUGGGAACCUGCUAGAGGGAGGGGGAAAACUACUGGAAACGGUAGCUAAUACCGCUAACCAUCAGCUGUGACCUGGAGGGAUGAGCUAGUCGGUGGGGUAAUGGCUUACCGAGGCGACAAUCCCUAGCUGGUCUGAGAGGUUGAACAGCCACACUGGACCUGAGACACGGUCCAGACUCCUACGGGAGGCAGCAGUAGGGAAUAUUGCACAAUGGGCGCAAGCCUGAUGCAGCAAUGCCGCGUGAGUGAAGAAGGCCUUCGGGUUGUAAAGCACUUUCAUCGAGGAGGCGUUACUCGCACAGGAAGCACCGGCUAACUCCGUGCCAGCCGCCGCGGUAAUUC
rnacentral:rRNA from 1 species